rnacentral:rRNA from 1 species
GACGAACGCUGGCGGCGUGCCUAAUACAUGCAAGUAGAACGCUGAAGGAGGAGCUUGCUCUUCUGGAUGAGUUGCGAACGGGUGAGUAACGCGUAGGUAACCUGCCUGGUAGCGGGGGAUAACUAUUGGAAACGAUAGCUAAUACCGCAUAAUAGUAGAUGUUGCAUGACAUUUGCUUAAAAGGUGCAAUUGCAUCACUACCAGAUGGACCUGCGUUGUAUUAGCUAGUUGGUGAGGUAACGGCUCACCAAGGCAACGAUACAUAGCCGACCUGAGAGGGUGAUCGGCCACACUGGGACUGAGACACGGCCCAGACUUCUACGGGAGGCAGCAGUAGGGAAUCUUCGGCAAUGGACGGAAGUCUGACCGAGCAACGCCGCGUGAGUGAAGAAGGUUUUCGGAUCGUAAAGCUCUGUUGUAAGAGAAGAACGAGUGUGAGAGUGGAAAGUUCACACUGUG